rnacentral:rRNA from 1 species
AUUGAACGCUGGCGGCAGGCCUAACACAUGCAAGUCGAACGCGUGGCGGACGGGUGAGUAAUGUCUAGGAAACUGCCCGAUGGAGGGGGGUAACUCCUGGAAACGGUAGCUAAUACCGCAUACCCUAGGAUGUGCCCAGAUGUGAGUAGCUGGUAGGUGGGGUACCGGCUCACCUAGGCGACGAUCCCUAGCUGGUCUGAGAGGAUGACCAGCCACACUGGAACUGAGACACGGUCCAGACUCCUACGGGAGGCAGCAGUGGGGAAUAUUGCACAAUGGGCGCAAGCCUGAUGCAGCCAUGCCGCGUGUAUGAAGAAGGCCUUCGGGUUGUAAAGUACUUUCAGCGGGGAGGCGUUACCCGCAGAAGAAGCACCGGCUAACUUCGUGCCAGCAGCCGCGGUAAUUC